rnacentral:rRNA from 1 species
UACAGAGGGGGCAAGCGUUGUUCGGAAUUACUGGGCGUAAAGGGCGCGUAGGCGGCCUUCUAAGUCGAACGUGAAAUCCCCGGGCUCAACCCGGGAACUGCGUCCGAUACUGGAAGGCUUGAAUCCGGGAGAGGGAUGCGGAAUUCCAGGUGUAGCGGUGAAAUGCGUAGAUAUCUGGAGGAACACCGGCGGCGAAAGCGGCGCACUGGACCACAACUGACGCUGAGGCGCGAAAGCUAGGGGAGCAAACAGG